CGGUGGAGCAUGUGGUUUAAUUCGAAGCAACGCGAAGAACCUUACCAGGUCUUGACAUCCCCUGACAACCCGAGAGAUCGGGCGUUCCCCUUCGGGGGACAGGGUGACAGGUGGUGCAUGGUUGUCGUCAGCUCGUGUCGUGAGAUGUUGGGUUAAGUCCCGCAACGAGCGCAACCCUCGACCUUAGUUGCCAGCAUUCAGUUGGGCACUCUAAGGUGACUGCCGGCUAAAAGUCGGAGGAAGUGGGGAUGACGUCAAAUCAUCAUGCCCCUUAUGACCUGGGCUACACACGUGCUACAAUGGGCGGUACAAAGGGUCGCGAACCCGCGAGGGGGAGCCAAUCCCAAAAAGCCGCUCUCAGUUCGGAUUGCAGGCUGCAACUCGCCUGCAUGAAGCCGGAAUCGCUAGUAAUCGCGGAUCAGCAUGCCGCGGUGAAUACGUUCCCGGGCCUU
rnacentral:rRNA from 1 species